AGACUUAGGGGGUUGGGUAGAGGCGCUACUAUUACUAAGUUGGACUUUUUAAAGGCUAGAGACUCACAUGUUAGGCAGCUUGAAGCUAGUUACACUGAUUUAAAAAGCAAGUAUGAAAAUUUGCAUAUUGUGGUUUCUGAGAUUGCUUGUAAAAAGAUUGAUCAUGGUUCCAAAUCUGACUUAAGUGAUGUUAGCAAAGGAGGAGUUAGGUGCCAGAUACUGAAUUGGCAGUUAGAUGGGGAUGUGGUUGUUGGAGAAGGAGAAUUCUGCUCCUCUGAACACACAUAUAAGAUUGGUCGAAUUCCAUUAGGUCCUAAUGCAGCUGCUGUGCUUGUGAAUUCGGUAUCAGACAAAACAGCAUCUCUUUGGAGACCACUCAGUCAAACUAUUGUUUCUCUUCAUCAAGCUAUAGGAAUGAAAGUUGCAUGGCCCUUUGUGAAGAUUAUAUUGGAUGAUGACGCAACGCAACCUCCUGAUACUAUGAUGUCUGAGGAACCUGCUGAAGAAGUAGGACUAGUUGAUAUCUAUGAGUAUUGGAGAGAAGAUGAUGAAGUGAUUGCUUAGGGUAUAUUGAUAUCAACUGACCCUUCACAAUUGGUUAAUGGUAUGCCUCUAGGACUAAAGGCUGCAACUGUUAAGAUCACGUUGGUGGUUAAACCUGAUGCCUAUCUAUGGAGACCAACCACUGAAAUCCCCUUUAUGGCUGAUGCUCUCAAUGAGACCAUUGCAUGGCCUUUUGAUAGGUUAAAACAACAGGUUCAACCUGAAGACGCAAACAGGAAAUCACCAAUGGAGGAAGCAACUACAAAAUCAGUAGAGAAGAGUGGUAGUCCUAGCACUGGUAGUAGCGGCAAAGGUGGGACACCGAAGUGU